UACGGGGGGGGCAAGCGUUGUUCGGAAUUACUGGGCGUAAAGGGCUCGUAGGCGGCCAACUAAGUCGGGUGUGAAAUCCCCAGGCUUAACCUGGGAACUGCAUCCGAUACUGGAUGGCUUGAAUUCGGGAGAGGGAUGCAGAAUUCCAGGUGUAGCGGUGAAAUGCGUAGAUAUCUGGAGGAAUCCCGGUGGCGAAGGCGGCAUCCUGGGGCGACAUUGGCGCUGAGUGAGCGAAAGCUAGGGGAGCAAACGGG
rnacentral:rRNA from 1 species